UCCCCUUACAAAGAGAGUUGGUUUGGGUGGUUUGUACCCGUCAGAGGUGUUAGCUGUGAUUGAUGUAAGUAGGCAUCUCACAGCUCGUUCUCUGUAUAAAGCUCUGAACACACAUGGAGCAUCUUUUGCUUGUUUCUUUUUUAAAAAGUAAUUAAUGAAGUCAAACAUCAAGGUGCUGGUCCCCAUAACGACUGCAGAGAGAAAAUCGGAGUGUUCGUCUGAGGACCCUGCCGGUGAUGCAAGAAGCUGACACGCAGCCUGCGAAUCGGGUCCAUCACCCAGCUUCAGGGGGUGAUGGUGGGUCUGGUGGAGGGCGUAACGGACUGAAGACACACAGCAGCAGAGGAUGUUUGGUCACAAUGAGGUCAGCCUUGUGAGGCUAGCAGAAGAAUGCAAUUUUGUCUUCUUAUUGUGAGGCAGAUGUUAAAGAUAUCUACGGGAAAGGUCCCAGGAACACCGACAGUAAAGUCAUAAUGGAAGUGGAGCAGGAACUGCUUCCAGUCAGCUUCAGCGGCUCAGCCAGCUUUGCUCUGUCAGUAAUACAGGGUACUGAAAUAGGGAGCUGAAUAAUUCCCCUUUAUGGCAGCUUCCAGUGGGCCAAGAGUUCAUCUGCAUCGCGCUUGAGUGUCGAAUAAGUGGACCUCCUUGCCUGAUAAUGAUGAGAGAUUUUUUGGCUAGUGAACCAGGUACUGCUCACAUCAGCCAUCAGAUUUGCAGCAGACGUCCACUUUUGUAUGUCCUUCAUGGCAGAUUUGAUCAGCCACCAGAAUUUGAAGGAAAAAAUAAAUAUCACCAAUUGAUUAUGGGCAUACAUGUGUGUUCAUGUGCAUGCGGUUCCCAGUUUGCUUCUCAACCCAGUUCAGUGCAAACCAUCUAAGGUCUUAGGGCCCAGGCAGGGCCCUUCUUCAUUCAUAACCAACCAAAACAGCUGUAAUCCUCGUGAACAAUGCUGCUCAAUGUGCUCCAAAGGAAGUUCGUGAGAGCUGGAGAUAAAAACAUUUUUGGUCAACAGCCAAGGAGAGUCUGAGCCCAAGCCUGACGGUUUUUAUAGUGUUGCAAAACUUGUAUCUUUGCCAAGACCUUCCCACAGUAACCGAAGACAAGGUACUACAGCUCACAAACAUAUUGUGAAAGAAAGAAAGAAGAAAAAAAAAAAAAGAAUGUGAAGGUGAAAAUAUAAUCUGCUCUGGUAUCCACUUGGACAAAAGCCUUUACAAAUUGCUGUAAUAAGGUGAUAAGAUACUGUGGUAAUAAAAAUCUUGUAAAUCAGACAUGUUUGUAUUGCUUUUAAAUUGAACUAAGCAGACAUCAAAGGAAGAUGAUUGAAAAAUUUAAUAUCUAAAAUGGGAGAUAAAAAUGAA